rnacentral:tRNA from 1 species
GCCCUUGUAACUCAACUGGUAGAGUACUUGAUUUGUAAUCAAGCUGUUGCAGGUUCGAUUCCUGUCGAGGGCUCA